rnacentral:rRNA from 1 species
CUGCUGCCUCCCGUAGGAGUCUGGGCCGUGUCUCAGUCCCAGUGUGGGGGGCCUUCCUCUCAGAACCCCUACGCAUCGUCGCCUUGGUGGGCCGUUACCCCGCCAACCAGCUAAUGCGACGCAUGGCCAUCCGCAGCCGGUAAACCUUUGGACCCGAAGGGAUGCCCCUCCGGGUCGUUACGCGGUAUUAGACGGGGUUUCCCCCGAUUAUCCCCCUGCUGCGGGCGGGUUCCAUACGUGUUACUCACCCGUGCGCCGGUCGCCAUCAAAAGUUUGCAAGCUAAA